UUUUUGCUCUUUGCUGUCUCACAUUUCAGCAUGUGCAACAUUUAUACGCUAACUGCACGUCUAGUGCCACCGAGUGGUUAUUCAUUACAAGCUAUUUAUCUAGUGGUGCAUGACUGACUUGGUUAUUAAUGACUAAGGACUUUAAUUUUGGAAAGUUUUGAUUUUUGAAUAAUUCAGGAAGCAGCAGUUGUUCUGAGAAGUGAUCAUUCUUAAACACAACAACCACAAACAUCUUUUAGAUCCAAUGAUUUGAAACUGGCUCAGUGUACACAAUGAAGCAGGAACAGACAUACCUGUAGCAAGCAGGAACAGACAUAGCAAACAGCAAAAGGAUAGGACCCAGACCAAUCCAAGAAUUACAGACUGUCAGGAUUUUCUGAAGACGAACAAGGGCGAACUAGUUAAUAAAGUUAAAGGCGUUGACAGAAUCAUUGAUGACCUCAGCCUUACUGGUGAAAUGGCGGCAAACGUGCGAACUGAGAAGACUGACCAGGCCAAGAUGAAGAAACUUCUGUAUUACACUACCACCAAAUCAGCUGCUAGGCGUCUGGUUGAUGCAAUGUAUAGACAUGCAGCUGAUGUCAUGGAGGACUUGGAAUCAGCCUAAUGCAUUUAAAAUCCUUCUUAAUUGAUGGUGCAUCAAGUAAAAAACAGACCACAUACCUCAGCUUUUCUUAUACAGCAUUAUAAGAUGUUUUAUUUACAUUGUGUAGAGAAUCAGUAAUAAAUAUGAUCCUACUAUGGUUUUACACUUUUAUAUUUUAUAAAUGGGGCAAGAAUGUGAGAUGUAAAUCAAUUAUGAUGGAAAAUAAAUUCGAUAAACAUCA